AUGUGUCCCCAACCUGUAAUUGACGCCAAGGAGGUAAAGUGGCAGAAGGUCUUAUAUGAGAAACAGCCCUUUCCUGACAACUUAGUAGACCUGGUUCCUGGAAGAGCUCCGGAAAAACAUCCAGGCUUGGAAAUACCAAUGGUGGACUGUGGUACUUGAGUCCAGUGUGGUGAUCCAGCAGCUGUGCAGCAUUUGUGACUUUCUGGUUAUCUGGUGUUCCAUGGAUGAGGGUCUUCUGGCCUCCCAUUGGCUUUUUGGGACUGGCCUAUCUUCUUCACUGAUUGGGUGUUUUGUUUGAUUUCACUGAUGGAGAUGAAGGGCGGAAGAAAAGUGGGUGGACCUGGUGGGCUGACCUGGAGAGUGCCCUAGUCUUCAUUACUUUCACUUAUGGCUUUUCACCAGUGCUAAAGAACCUGGCAGAGUCUCUCAGCACUGACACCAUCUAUGCCAUGUCCGUCUUCAUGCUGUUGGGCCACCUCAUCUUUUUUGACUAUGGUGCCAAUACUGCCACUAUGUCCAGCACGCUAUCCUUGAACAUGGCCACCUUUGCUUCUGGCUGCUGGCAUCACGCCUUCCCCAGUCCCUGCCUUCAUCAUGGUAACACUUGCCUCCAGGUUUUUGUCCUGUGGCCCAUGUUAUAGAAGAGACUAAAGGCAUGUACUCCCUGGAGCCAUGUGGUGGUCACACUGCUUUUUGUGUUUAGCCUUGGGAGGCUACUGUCUAUUAGUGCCGUGGGAGCCGUACUCUUUGCCCUUCUGCUGAUUUCUGUCUCAUGUCUCUGUCCAUUCUACAUCAUUUGCCUGCAGCUUUUUAAAGAAAACAUUUACGGGACUCGGGAUGAAGCAAAAAUCAAGGAAGACUUUCCCAGGUUCCUCAGCUAAAUUAGGGAUGUUCUGACAGACUAGCCUCCUAACUAGUAUAAAACUUAGAGACAGAGUUCCAUUCUGGAUGCAGCAUGUCAGUGUGGUAAGAGAACAGAGAUCAAAACAAAAUAAAACGAAUGAACCAAAGGCUUGGGUGGUGAGGGUGCUUAUCCUUUCUGUAAUUCUGUGGAUGAAAGAACUUUCUGGGGCCCUCUUGAAUUAUUCGCUAUAACAAACGAAGUGAUAUGGUUUCUAUUU